GAUGAACGCUGGCGGCAUGCCUAAUACAUGCAAGUCGUGCGGAAACACUUCGGGUGUCGAGCGGCGGACGGGUGAGUAACACGUUAGUAUCUACCCCAAACUGAGGGAUAAGCACCGGAAACGGUGUCUAAUACCGCAUAUGGUCUUCGGAUUAAAGCCUUCGGGCGGUUUGGGAGGAGCUUGCGUCUGAUUAGCUAGUUGGUAAGGUAAUGGCUUACCAAGGCUACGAUCAGUAGCUGGUCUGAGAGGAUGAUCAGCCACACUGGAACUGAGACACGGUCCAGACUCCUACGGGAGGCAGCAGUAGGGAAUUUUCCACAAUGGGCGAAAGCCUGAUGGAGCAAUGCCGCGUGCAGGAUGAAUGCCUUCGGGUUGUAAACUGCUUUUAUGAGGGAAGAUUGUGACGGUACCUCAUGAAUAAGCCUCGGCUAACUCCGUGCCAGCCGCCGCUGUAA
rnacentral:rRNA from 1 species